GGAGGGUGCGAGCGUUAUCCGGAAUUACUGGGUUUAAAGGGUGCGUAGGCGGCGCUGUAAGUCAGGAGUGAAAGUUUGCGGCUCAACCGUAAAAUUGCUUUUGAUACUGCGGUGCUAGAAUUAGGAUGAGGUCAGCGGAAUGUGGCAUGUAGCGGUGAAAUGCAUAGAUAUGCCAUAGAACACCAAUUGCGAAGGCAGCUGGCUAGACCUAUAUUGACGCUGAGGCACGAAAGCGUGGGGAGCGAACAGGAUUAGAUACCCUGGUAGUCCACGCCCUAAACGAUGCUCACUCGACGUAUGGCCCUGGAGGUUGUGCGUCCAAGGGAAACCGUUAAGUGAGCCACCUGGGGAGUACGACCGCAAGGUUG
rnacentral:rRNA from 1 species